rnacentral:rRNA from 1 species
GACGAACGCUGGCGGCGUGCUUAACACAUGCAAGUCGAACGGAAAGGCCCUGCUUUUGUUGGGUUCUCGAUUGGCGAACGGGGGAGUAUCACGUGUGUAACAUGCCCCUGACUUUGGGAUAACUCCAGGAAACUGCGGCUAAUACCGGAUAGGAGCUCCUGCUGCGUGGUGGGGGAUGGAAAGUUUCGGCGGUUGGGGCUGGACUCGAGGCUCAUCAGCUUGUUGGUGGGGUAGUGGCUUACCAAGGCUUUGACGGGUCGCCGGCCUGCGAGGGUGACCGGCCACAAUGGGACUGAGAUACGGCCCAGACUCCUACGGGAGGCAGCAGUGGGGAAUAUUGCACAAUGGGCGGAAGCCUGUUGCAGCAGCGCCGCGUUCGGAAUGACGGCCUUCGGGUUGUAAACCGCUUUCGCAGGUGCCGAGCCGUGAUUGACGGUAAUUAGUAAAGAAGCACCGGCUAACUACGUG